rnacentral:rRNA from 1 species
UACGAGGGAUGCAAGCGUUAUCCGGAAUUAUUGGGCGUAAAGCGUCCGCAGGUGGCUCUGUAAGUCUGUCGUUAAAGAAUGGGGCUCAACCCCAUACAGGCGAUGGAAACUACAAGGCUAGAGUUUGGUAGGGGUCACGGGAAUUCCUAGUGUAGCGGUGAAAUGCGUAGAUAUUAGGAAGAACACCAGCGGCGAAAGCGCGUGACUGGGCCUGUACUGACGCUCAUGCACGAAAGCGUGGGGAGCAAACAGG